UUAAAGGUGCAAUCUGGGAUAUUUGCUGUUUAAUAUUUGGUGGUGGGCUAAUGUUGAGCUUUAACACAAAUCCCAGAUUGUAUCUUUAAGGUCCAAGCUGCCCUAAACUGCUGUUGUCAUGUUCAUUAGGGGACACAAUGGAAAACAUUUAAAUGUUGUGCAAUGGAAAAAGAAAACGGGCAUUUCAUAUUGGACAAGUCCAGGUGGUAGGUGGUAGGUCUAGGUGGUAGGUCCAGGUGGUAGGUGGUAGGUCCAGGUGGUAGGUGGUCGGUCCAGGUGGUAGGUGGUAGGUCCAGGUGGUAGGUGGUAGGUCCAGGUGGUAGGUGGUAGGUCCAGGUGGUAGGCUAGUCCCUCACUGUUUAAUUUUUAUUUUAUUUUUUAUUAUUUUUUUUUUUAUCACCUUUAUUUAACCAGGUAGGCCAGUUGAGAACAAGUCCUCAUUUACAACUGUGACCUGGCCAAGAUAAAACAAAGCAGUGCGACACAAACACAGACAGAGAUAAAACAUGGAAUAAACAAACGUACAGUCAAUAACACAAUAGAAAAGUCUAUAUACAGUAUGUGCAAAUUAAGUAAGAUUAGGGAGGUAAG
ensembl:lncRNA